CGCAGGGCUGUUCUAUGAAGGAAAUGAUUCAGUGUUAUGCUGAACCCAGGCUUGGCUUGAGAGAUACCAGAGCGUUCCGAGGCACCAACAACUUCGAGCCCCCUUCCUCUGAGUGUGUGAGAAGAACUGAGGGCAGGAGAGGGAAGGGAGAUCAUAGCAUCACGGGGGGAUUGAAACCCACCCACAACUCUCAAGAAAUUUCACAAUGUUUCUAUCUCUUCCCUUAUCAAAUAUUCGACUAGAGAAACAAGUAAUAAUCCUGACUUUCCUUUCUUCACUUAGCAUAUGCACUUCAACUGAAAAUGGUUACGGGAAAAGCUGGAGCCAGAAACCGAAUCCAGAGAUUUAAAAAGACAGAACUAGCAUCUCCUGUGCCCCAGCCACAGUCAAGUUCAAGUUGCCCUUAA